rnacentral:rRNA from 1 species
GGCUCAGGAUGAACGCUGGCGGCGUGCUUAACACAUGCAAGUCGAACGGUGAACACGGAGCUUGCUCUGUGGGAUCAGUGGCGAACGGGUGAGUAACACGUGAGCAACCUGCCCCUGACUCUGGGAUAAGCGCUGGAAACGGCGUCUAAUACUGGAUAUGUGACGUGAUCGCAUGGUCUGCGUCUGGAAAGAAUUUCGGUUGGGGAUGGGCUCGCGGCCUAUCAGCUUGUUGGUGAGGUAAUGGCUCACCAAGGCGUCGACGGGUAGCCGGCCUGAGAGGGUGACCGGCCACACUGGGACUGAGACACGGCCCAGACUCCUACGGGAGGCAGCAGUGGGGAAUAUUGCACAAUGGGCGCAAGCCUGAUGCAGCAACGCCGCGUGAGGGAUGACGGCCUUCGGGUUGUAAACCUCUUUUAGCAGGGAAGAAGCGAAAGUGACGGU